UACGAAGGGGGCUAGCGUUGUUCGGAAUUACUGGGCGUAAAGCGUGCGUAGGUGGUUCGUUAAGUCUGUCGUGAAAGCCCCGGGCUUAACCUGGGAAUGGCAUUCAGGACUGCGAGGCUUUGAGUGCGGCAGAGGGAGGUGGAAUUCCACGUGUAGCAGUGAAAUGCGUAGAGAUGUGGAGGAACACCGAUGGCGAAGGCAGCCUCCUGGGCCAGCACUGACGCUCAUGCACGAAAGCGUGGGGAGCAAACAGG
rnacentral:rRNA from 1 species